GAAUAGUGUUUUCCCGACGUAACAGAGUCAUUGCCACAGAACCUCACAGCAGAUGUGACUGUGUGUAUACCACAAGAUCAAGCCAGCCAAAAUUCCAGCAGUAAUGAGGCACUCGAGGAUUAUUUGAUGAACAUCUACCGAACAACGUGGCUUCAAGAAUAAAGUCAUAACAAGGCUGUUAACAUUUGUGAAAUGAAUCCAUUUGGCAGGUCAAUGAAUUCAUUAUAAUCCACUACAUGAAUGUAUGUGGACUGCAUGAAUUUAUGUGCACUGUAUGUGUGCAGGUG
rnacentral:lncRNA from 1 species